rnacentral:rRNA from 1 species
UACGGAGGGGGCUAGCGUUGUUCGGAAUUACUGGGCGUAAAGCGCGCGUAGGCGGACCUGCAAGUCGGGGGUGAAAGCCCGAGGCUCAACCUCGGAACUGCCUUCGAUACUGCGGGUCUCGAGUCCGGGAGAGGUGAGUGGAAUUCCUAGUGUAGAGGUGAAAUUCGUAGAUAUUAGGAAGAACACCAGUGGCGAAGGCGGCUCACUGGCCCGGAACUGACGCUGAGGCGCGAAAGCGUGGGGAGCAAACAGG